GCCUGCUUCGGAUUCACUAAACUUAUAUCCUUCAAUUUUUCCACAUACCUUCUUGUGUGCCCUUCUGUGUCUAGCACUAGGAUGUGGGUUUGGGAAAGGCCAACUACAUUUAUGACAUAAAUGUGUACCAUGAUUCUCAUGCCCUGAUGGGGUUGUCAUUUUGUGAUCUUGGCUCUCCAUAAGCAAGUAAAUCAGCAACAGAAGAAAGAAG
rnacentral:misc_RNA from 1 species